CCAAGUCGCGUGAAGGAAGAAGGUUCUAUGGAUUGUAAACUUCUUUUGUAAGGGAAUAAAGUGCGCUACGUGUAGCGUUUUGUAUGUACUUUACGAAUAAGGAUCGGCUAACUCCGUGCCAGCAGCCGCGGUAAUACGGAGGAUCCGAGCGUUAUCCGGAUUUAUUGGGUUUAAAGGGUGCGCAGGCGGACCCUUAAGUCAGUGGUGAAAGUUUGCAGCUCAACUGUAAAAUUGCCAUUGAAACUGAGGGUCUUGAGUGUAAAUGAGGUAGGCGGAAUGUGUUGUGUAGCGGUGAAAUGCUUAGAUAUAACACAGAACACCAAUUGCGAAGGCAGCUUACUAGGAUACAACUGACGCUCAGGCACGAAAGCGUGGGGAUCAAACAGGAUUAGAUACCCUGGUAGUCCACGCAGUAAACGAUGAAUACUAACUGUAUGCGAUAUAGUGUAUGUGGUAAAGCGAAGGCGUUAAGUAUUCCACCUGGGGAGUACGUUCGCAAGAAUGAAACUCAAAGGA
rnacentral:rRNA from 1 species